ensembl:snoRNA SNORD63 Small nucleolar RNA SNORD63
GUGCCAUGAUGUCAACUGUCAACACAUCAUUCUGAAGAAGAAUUGUGUGGAGACUUUCUGCAACUGAGCACC